rnacentral:pre_miRNA from 12 species
UAGCCCCAGGGAACUGUUGCUGCUGAUAUAUUAUUCUCCCAAAAAAAAAAUCACCUAUAUCACAGUGGCUGUUCUUUUUGGCUGC